AAAGAUUUAGUUUAAUAAAAAUAGUUGUUUUGCAUACAGCAGAUGUAAGUUUUGUCUUGCAGUCUUUA
rnacentral:tRNA from 1 species